UUUGUUCAUUCCUUCAGGCCUUU
rnacentral:siRNA from 1 species